rnacentral:rRNA from 1 species
GAGUUUGAUCCUGGCUCAGGAUGAACGCUGGCGGCGUGCCUAACACAUGCAAGUCGAACGGAGUUACAGUGAAACCUAGUGAUCUGUAACUUAGUGGCGGACGGGUGAGUAACGCGUGGGUAACCUGCCUUGUACUGGGGGAUAACACCUGGAAACAGGUGCUAAUACCGCAUAAGCGCACAGAGCCGCAUGGCUCAGUGUGAAAAACUCCGGUGGUACAAGAUGGACCCGCGUCUGAUUAGCCAGUUGGGGGGGUAACGGCCCACCAAAGCGAUGAUCAGUAGCCGGCCUGAGAGGGUGAACGGCCACAUUGGGACUGAGACACGGCCCAAACUCCUACGGGAGGCAGCAGUGGGGAAUAUUGCACAAUGGGGGAAACCCUGAUGCAGCAACGCCGCGUGAGUGAAGAAGUAAUUCGUUAUGUAAAGCUCUAUCAGCAGGGAAGAAAAUGACGGUACCUGAGUAAGAAGCCCCGGCUAACUACGUGCCAGCAGCCGCGGUAAUACGUAGGGGGCAAGCGUUAUCCGGAUUUACUGGGUGUAAAGGGAGCGUAGACGGUUGUGCAAGUCUGGAGUGAAAGGCGGGGGCUCAACCCCCGGACUGCUCUGGAAACUGUGUAACUGGAGUGCAGGAGGGGUAAGCGGAAUUCCUAGUGUAGCGGUGAAAUGCGUAGAUAUUAGGAGGAACACCGGUGGCGAAGGCGGCUUACUGGACUGUAACUGA